GACAGAGGGUGCAAACGUUGUUCGGAAUUACUGGGCGUAAAGCGCGUGUAGGCGGCCCUGCAAGUCGGGUGUGAAAUCCCACGGCUCAACCGUGGAAGUGCAUUCGAAACUGCAGGGCUAGAGUCCUGGAGAGGAAGGUGGAAUGCUUGGUGUAGAGGUGAAAUUCGUAGAUAUCAAGCGGAACACCGAUGGCGAAGGCGGCCUUCUGGACAGCGACUGACGCUGAGACGCGAAAGCGUGGGGAGCAAACAGG
rnacentral:rRNA from 1 species